rnacentral:rRNA from 1 species
CAGUCGCCACGGGAAUACGUAGGUGGCAAGCGUUGUCCGGAAUUAUUGGGCGUAAAGGGCUCGCAGGCGGUUUCUUAAGUCUGAUGUGAAAGCCCCCGGCUCAACCGGGGAGGGUCAUUGGAAACUGGGAAACUUGAGUGCAGAAGAGGAGAGUGGAAUCCCACGUGUAGCGGUGAAAUGCGUAGAGAUGUGGAGGAACACCAGUGGCGAAGGCGACUCUCUGGUCUGUAACUGACGCUGAGGAGCGAAAGCGUGGGGAGCGAACAGGAUUAGAUACCCCGGUAGUCCCUGUCUCUUAUAC